rnacentral:rRNA from 1 species
UACAGAGGAUGCAAGCGUUAUCCGGAAUGAUUGGGCGUAAAGCGUCUGUAGGUGGCUUUUUAAGUCCGCCGUCAAAUCCCAGGGCUCAACUCUGGACAGGCGGUGGAAACUACCAAGCUGGAGUACGGUAGGGGCAGAGGGAAUUCCCGGUGUAGCGGUGAAAUGCGCAGAUAUCGGGAGGAACACCAAUGGCGAAGGCAGCUCGCUGGGACGUGACUGACGCUGAGACGCGAAAGCGUGGGGAGCAAACAGG